CCUAUUGUGGCAGAAUAGUGCACUGGAUUUAAGCUCCAAAUAUAAACAAACUUUCUAUAGGA
rnacentral:tRNA from 1 species